CUCACCUGGAGUUUGGGGUCCAGAGAGCACAGGAAGAAGUCUAUUUUAAUGUGAAAAAACUCUCUUAACUGGGGCAACCUGUCAUGCAGACAGAACACUAGCAGAAAAAAUUUAAGAUAGAAUUAUUUUUCAGAAAUCUGCUAAUGACUCCUACACUUGGUAAAUUGUCCUUUUGCAGCAGAAAUUCUACCUGGUGACAGCACAGCAGGAUCCAUCAUUGUCCUUGCUCUGUGGAGGAAACUGAAAGGUCAAGCAGGUCAGCUGCCCAGGAUUUCAGAGAGGAAUCCUCUCCAGAAGCUAAGCCCAGAUGACUGGGUCAAAAUACUCGCUGCAUGAGCUGUCUUUGAUCUGGGAACUACACAGACACCAAGGAUUCGUCCCAUGGAGCAGAUGUGGUAGCAAGACUAUUAAGGUGAAAGCAUGUCACUGUUCCUUGUCACUGGGCUACCAUAUCCCAGGUUUACACAUCGAUCUAAUUCUAAGCCCAUGGGCUGACGGGAUGGAAAGCAGAGGAUGUGGAGAGGCAUCGCUUACCCAGCAACUGAGGAAAUCCUUAAUUUCCAGAGGAGAAUAUCUAGUUUAGAGGGCUGAAAAAAGUUGAGGUGGCAGAAGGAGGAGAGAACUAACGUCAACAUUGAUGUUCUCUGAAUUUAUGUCUCUCUAUUACUUAAGGGAGAUAAACUGUAUUUAAAAUAAUGUUUAUCAACAUAAAACCAAAGGAGUCUUUAUAAGCGGAUUCACCAGUAGAAACUUUUCCGUGUAUAUAAUUUCCUGAUCUUUGUUUCUGUUUCCAAAUGUGAUCAAUGAGGUCUUACGGAAAAUGAUCUCAGGAUUUCUCAUUUUCAUAUGAGUACGACGUUGAAACUGUUGUGAUGGAGUGGGACUGUUGCUCAUAGAAGCUAAUCACCUGCUGUACAGAAGCCAUGCAAACUGUGGAAAGGCCCACGUGAAGAGGAACUGAUGCCUUUUAUCCCUCAGCACCAUCAGACAGACUCCACAUAAGACCAGCACCAAUUUGCCAGCCAUCUUAUCAUAGAUUUCACGUGUGACAUGAAAAUCAGCUGUGAUCACCACAUCAUUAGAUAAAAAGACCACGAACUGGCAGCCGACAAACCAAGCUGAUGACUUCCAAAGACUCCGGAAAGAAAGAUUUAACUUCUCUCCAGCCCAAGCACCCCUCUGGCCAGAGGUUAAAAACAAGAAGAUUGUAAUUCAGUAAAGCAUGGUGGACUUCCUAAAACAGUCCAAAGGUUUUGUUUUGUUUUGAAAAUGAAUUGAUAAGGGAAAAUAUGCUGGUAGCAAGGGUUGGAGUCAAGCUAGUCAUUUGUUUUCAGGUCUUCAUGCCUUUUUAAAGUUUUUUUUUUAUACCUUCUUCAUAAUGAAAACAAGAUGUGCAUUCCUUACAAAUAGCUACUCUUACCCUUGACCUCCAUGUGGUCAACAACCAAACUUUCUACCCUUGACCAAAUAAAUGCAAACCCUUUCAGAACAAAUAUGCCUUUGAGCCGGGAAGACCUUUAACAUUUCUGUGCAGAGUUAUUUGAUGCUCACACAGCUGAACAUUAGUCAUCAGUGCAGUAGGUUAACCCUUGUCCUGCUCCUUCAGAUAAUGGCCAUGUUGAAGUAAUUUGAUCCAA